AAAAGCCGUAUGCGAGAAAGUCGCACGUACGGUUUUGUGCGGGGCUAGUGUCGUGAGGCACUGGUCUACUCGAC
rnacentral:ncRNA from 1 species